GCGCGAAAACUUCUCAAUGCACGAAAGUGUGAAGAGGGGAUACUCAGUGCUUACGCUUCUGGCGUAGGCUUUUGUCGAGCGUAGACAGCUCGAUGAAUAAGUGGUGGGCAAGACCGGUGCCAGCCGCCGCGGUAACACCGGCGCCACAAGUGGUCAUCACGAUUAUUGGGCCUAAAGCGUCCGUAGCUGGUGCGGUGCAUCCCUUGUGAAAUCGUUCGGCUUAACCGAACGGCGUGCAGGGGACACGGCCGCGCUCGAGACCGGGAGGGGUCAGAAGUAUUCCAUGGGGACCGGUAAAAUGGGAUAAUCCAUGGAGGACUACCGAUGGCGAAGGCAUCUGACCAGAACGGAUCUGACAGUGAGGGACGAAAGCCAGGGGAGCGAACCGG
rnacentral:rRNA from 1 species